UACGGAGGGUGCGAGCGUUGUCCGGAAUCAUUGGGCGUAAAGGGCGCGUAGGCGGCCGUCCCAAGCGUGCGGUGAAAGUCAGGGGCUCAACCCCUGAUCGGCCGUGCGAACUGGGCUCACUGGAGCAUAGUAGAGGCAGGUGGAAUUCCGGGUGUAGCGGUGGAAUGCGUAGAGAUCCGGAAGAACACCGGUGGCGAAGGCGGCCUGCUGGGCUAUGGCUGACACUGAGGCGCGACAGCGUGGGGAGCAAACAGG
rnacentral:rRNA from 1 species